UAAAGCCGAGCAUAAAGGCAUAUAAACAAAUGCACAUUCCAACGCAGAUAGUGACUGCGGAUUUAAAAAUUAAACUGAUUUAAAGAAUGUAAAGGAGUUAUGG
rnacentral:ncRNA from 1 species